rnacentral:rRNA from 1 species
GACGUAGGGGGCGAGCGUUGUCCGGAUUUAUUGGGCGUAAAGCGUGCGUAGGCGGCUGCGCAAGUCGGUUGUGAAACCCCGGGGCUCAACCCCGGAACUGCAUCCGAUACUGCGUGGCUAGAGGUAGGUAGGGGAGAUCGGAAUUCCUGGUGUAGCGGUGAAAUGCGCAGAUAUCAGGAGGAACACCGAUGGCGAAGGCAGGUCUCUGGGCCACUACUGACGCUGAGAAGCGAAAGCAUGGGGAGCGAACAGG